rnacentral:rRNA from 1 species
ACUCCUACGGGAGGCAGCAGUGGGGAAUAUUGCACAAUGGGCGCAAGCCUGAUGCAGCCAUGCCGCGUGUGUGAAGAAGGCCUUCGGGUUGUAAAGCACUUUCAGUCGUGAGGAAGGUAGUGUAGUUAAUAGCUGCAUUAUUUGUACGUUAGCGACAGAAGAAGCACCGGCUAACUCCGUGCCAGCAGCCGCGGUAAUACGGAGGGUGCGAGCGUUAAUCGGAAUUACUGGGCGUAAAGCGCAUGCAGGUGGUUUGUUAAGUCAGAUGUGAAAGCCCGGGGCGUCAACCUCGGAAUAGCAUUUGAAACUGGCAGACUAGAGUACUGUAGAGGGGGUUAGAAUUUCAGGUGUAGCGGUG